UACGGAGGGAGCUAGCGUUGUUCGGAUUCAUUGGGCGUAAAGGGUGCGUAGGUGGCAUGGUAAGUCGGAUGUGAAAUCCCGGGGCUCAACCCCGGAACUGCAUUCGAUACUGCUGCGCUAGAGUACUGGAGAGGAGAUUGGAAUUUACGGUGUAGCAGUGAAAUGCGUAGAUAUCGUAAGGAAGACCAGUGGCGAAGGCGGAUCUCUGGACAGUUACUGACACUGAGGCACGAAGGCCAGGGGAGCAAACGGG
rnacentral:rRNA from 1 species